ensembl:lincRNA
CUGGUGUCUUUUCCUUUUAUUCCUAAAACAGGUUCGGUUUUUAAAAUUUAUAUUCAGCCUAAAAAGUUACCUACAUGCUUCCAGUUUAAUUGCAACACACUUAAAAAACGAACUACUGUGCCGGCUGGCUCCCUAAGUUAAACUAAAACUUCCAAAGGGGUCAAGGUCUAAAGUUCACAUUCUUGUGAGACCGGUUCAGUCUUCACGGAGGGAGACCCCAUUAUCCACAGCAAGCCCCCAUUAUCCGUAGCUCUACCAAUCACGUACAUUUCCUUUUGAAUCCUAUGAAUGAGGGAAAAGAAGUUCAAGUGAGGGAAACUGGGUUCAAAUGAAGGUCAGAUACCCAAGAGUUUUCUGGUUAUUGUGCGGCUCGGGUUGACAAAAGUCAGGGAAAAGUUAACCACGUGGUCGUGGCUCUCAACAGUCUGGUUCAGGGAGUCCCGGGGACACUUUAAGGCCCACUGCGCUCCAGGCCCUGGAACACAAAGAAAACCACGGAUGCUCCGUUGCUCAGGUCUCGCAGUGUUCUAGACGAUUUACACGUCGCAAGACACACUCCCCGCCCCGAAGACACUCGCAUGAAGAGAGGGCAAACAAGGUCCUCCCGCGAGCCCGAGGACCGCGCUGAAGAAACACCCUGGGGUAAGAAGCGCUCCUCCUGUGUCCUCUGCGCUGGCCAGGACCGGAAAGCCAGGACCGACACGCCCUCUCCGAAGGGCAGACCCGCCUCAAGGAGGGCGGAUGCCCGCUGGGCCGGCCGCCGGGCCCUCACCCGACCCCGCGAACGCGGCCCAGCGCGGCACCCGCUCCUCACGUGUCCCUCUCCGGUCGCCUCACGUUCUGCUUCCGCUCGACCCUUCCGACUUCCGGUAAAGAGUCCCCCCCUUCCGCACUUCUGCGCCCACCUGGCGCCGCCACCCGGCGCUUCGGCGAGCCCGGGCCUCGAUGCGCUCGGCGGCCGCUGCUCAGCGGAACCCCGCCACGGCUCUAGAGCCUCGCCGCCGCACCUCGGCCAGGUGGCCCGGGCGGCGCUCGCUCUGGCGGACGGCGCGGCGCAGCGGGCGGGGCGGUGGCGUGGGGCCGGGCGCAUAUCCCUCCGCCGCCCCUCCCCCGCCCGGCCCCGGCCCCCCGCCCUCCGCGCAGUGCUCGCCUCCUUCUGCCUCAAACUGUUUUGGUAGCAACGGCAACAGCGGCGGCGAGUCCCGGCCCGGCUCCCGGCAGCUCCUCGCUCUUGGCGGGCCUCCCCGCCCCUUCGUCGUCGUCCUUAUACCCCUCGCCAGCUCGGCCGCCCCCCCAGCCGCACUGUUGCGCGCCUCUCCGCUCGGCUCCCGUGCGUCCCUGCCGCGCUCCGGUGUCUCCUCCGCGCGCUCGGCUCUCGGUUGUCCCCGCCCGGCGUGCGAGCCGGUGUAUGGGCCCCUCACCAUGUCACUGAAGCCCCAGCAGCAGCAACAGCAGCCGCCCGCGGGUGCCACUGUCCGCAAGCCCAGCGGCGGCCUUCUCACAUCGCCUAUCACCGCGCCGUCACCGUCCUCAGUCUCGUCAUCCUCGGUCACGGCUUCCUCCUCCUCCUCCUCUUCGUCCUCCUCCUCUUCUUCCUCGGCGGCUGCAGGCAGCGGGCGGCCUGGCUUGGGCAGUUGUAGACAUUCGCUGUUUAUUGGAGACUUUGAAAAAAUAUAGAUGACUUCCUGUUAGUGAAAUACAUGGACUGAAUCAGGAAUGAACUCUAUACUUGCUCUUAUGUUUGUAAGUGACUGGUUACUUUUGGUUUCAUGUUAAUUUUUUCUUUUAGUAGGCGGUUUUUAUUUUCAUUUAAUUAUUGUUUCUAUUUUGGUGGUACUGGGGAUUGAACCUAGGGAUGCUGACCCAUAUCUAAAGCUUGCUUGAUUGAUUGAGUGAUUGAUUAAUUGAAGCAGUCUUGUUAAAUUGCUCAGGUUGUCGCCAAACUUGCAAUCUUGCCUCAGUAGCAAGUGGGUGGGGUCACAAGCAUGCACCACUAGGUCCAG